AUUGAACGCUGGCGGCAUGCCUUACACAUGCAAGUCGAACGGUAACAGGUCUUCGGAUGCUGACGAGUGGCGAACGGGUGAGUAAUACAUCGGAACGUGCCCGAUCGUGGGGGAUAACGCAGCGAAAGCUGUGCUAAUACCGCAUACGAUCUACGGAUGAAAGCGGGGGAUCGCAAGACCUCGCGCGGACGGAGCGGCCGAUGGCAGAUUAGGUAGUUGGUGGGGUAAAGGCUCACCAAGCCUUCGAUCUGUAGCUGGUCUGAGAGGACGACCAGCCACACUGGGACUGAGACACGGCCCAGACUCCUACGGGAGGCAGCAGUGGGGAAUUUUGGACAAUGGGCGCAAGCCUGAUCCAGCCAUGCCGCGUGCAGGAUGAAGGCCUUCGGGUUGUAAACUGCUUUUGUACGGAACGAAAAGGUCUUUUUUAAUAAAGAGGGCCCAUGACGGUACCGUAAGAAUAAGCACCGGCUAACUACGUGCCAGCAGCCGCGGUAAUACGUAGGGUGCAAGCGUUAAUCGGAAUUACUGGGCGUAAAGCGUGCGCAGGCGGUAAUGUAAGACAGAUGUGAAAUCCCCGGGCUCAACCUGGGAACUGCAUUUGUGACUGCAUUGCUGGAGUGCGGCAGAGGGGGAUGGAAUUCCGCGUGUAGCAGUGAAAUGCGUAGAUAUGCGGAGGAACACCGAUGGCGAAGGCAAUCCCCUGGGCCUGCACUGACGCUCAUGCACGAAAGCGUGGGGAGCAAACAGGAUUAGAUACCCUGGUAGUCCACGCCCUAAACGAUGUCAACUGGUUGUUGGGUCUUCAUUGACUCAGUAACGAAGCUAACGCGUGAAGUUGACCGCCUGGGGAGUACGGCCGC
rnacentral:rRNA from 1 species